rnacentral:lncRNA from 1 species
GCAAAACAGUAUGCAGAGUUUUCAUGGUGUUGUUAACUGAUACCAAGCCAUAUUUGAAGAAAACGAUGAUGCUUCAGACAGCCUCGCUCGUGAUUUCAUCCUUAAGAUAAGCGAAGAAGGCUCUUUGUCGAGUUUUCUUGAUCAAUGGCUGCAUCCACAGAAAUGAAGCAUAAAUUAGUAACUGAAGCAUCAUUUUCUAGAUAAGAAGAUAGGCCCUGCAUUUCUCUAUCAUAUUUUCUCUCGAGUUCAUGGUGGAGACGACAUAGCAGAUUCGCGUAUUUGAUGAUCUGGAACAGAGGAGUAGUUGAUAGUAUGAUACGAAUCAAGAUGAAAACUGCUGCACUAAUUAUAUGCCCAGAAAUCUUCACUUUUGUUUAUGGCUGUAAAGUUUGUAUAUGCUAUGCAGUGUGUAUAUUUAAGAGUCUCAACUGAGAGACAUCACAUAUUUGUUGCAAGCAAUUCAUCAAGAAACAAAAGAGCUGAGUUCUAAACGAAAUUCGACCUGUUCAUCUGUGCAGGUAGCUAUUCGUCAUCGUGCAACUGCUACUCCGGUCUCCACAGAAAGAAGAAGCCAUCGCCAUCCUCAUGUUUGCCGCCUCUUCACGUUGGCUAACUGCAAUCUUUAUGCAUAUAAACAGCUCUCUAAAGUGAAUCUCGUCCUCGUCUGCAGUUGAGGCAAUCAUGCAGCAUUAGAUCUGAGACGGGUUAACGGAGAAAUUAGAUUAUACAAUGAAGGGAUUGGGACUAGCAGAGAUGAAUAGGAAGUGUUUUUGGCACUACCUUUUUUAACAGUGAAAAAUGUGUGCUUUAUCUUUACUGAUCUUGUUAAACAUCUUCAUUGUUAGCUUUCCUUCAACUUAUGAAAACAUAUAUAAUGUCUGUCUGUGUCAAUAUCAAUCUCAAUCAAGUUACUCAUCACACACACACACACACACACACACUAUGAAUCUCAUAUGUAACAGUCACAAUAUAUUAAGUACUUUCAUGAUGGCUUACCAAGAAACCACAAUACCAUCAUCUACAAAGAAAGGUAAAAUUUUGAGGAAUCCAAGUAAAAGCAGAUAGCUGCAGGCAGCAGAUUUUAUAGUUGCAAUUAGUUAAAGAGAGCAAAGAAAGCAAAGCACUAUUCAGGAACAUGGCUAUAUGAGGUUAAAUUUACUUUGCAUGAUUGAUAAGAUACAUAACUAAUAAUUUUAUACUCCAAUUUCCUUUUCAAUUGGAUAUGCAUCAUGCAAAACUAAUCAAAUGAUAGAGAUUAUCAAGGUGAUCCAUGAGAUAUAUUCCAAAUUUCAAUCUUUGGCUAAGCUUAAGCUUUUAGCUUAUAGCUCUUAAAGUUGGCAAAAUAACUCUAAAAGCUUAGAAGUUGUUUGCAAAAUAAGCUCUAAAAGCUUAUAACUGUAAAAUUAAGCUUAAGAGUUAUAACUCAAAAAAUAAGUUCUCUACCCACUUAUUUUCUCAUUUUCUUAUAAGCAACACUCAUUUUACAAAAAAUAAUUCAAUAUAAUUUUUUAUUUUAUCAUAUAUCAUUCUAAUUUCAUUUUUCUUCAAUUCUCUCCACCAACUAAAAAUUCUCUCUUAGCUUAUAAGCUCAAUAUAACCAAACACUUUGACAACUUAUAAGCUCUUAAGAAGCUACAUCUUAUAAACUCUUAUAAGCUCUGAGAGCUUAUAAUAAACUUAGCCAAACAUCUAAACAAGGGAUUAACUUACUAUUUUAACCUAUAUAGAAUAAUCCAUAAGGGUGCGUUCUCUUUGAUUGCAAAUUUAUCAUGAAAAAUGACGGAUACAAAUUUUUUCACCCUUUAAAUCCAUUUUUCUAUCCUCACUUUCUACAAAAUGAAUUUCAACAUUUCUUCUUCCUCCUUUUCACUUCAAGAAGAAACAAUAUUAUCACGAGAUAUUUGUGUGAUAAUAUUAUCCCUCCUUAUAGUGAAAAAAAAAAAGUAAAAGAAAUGGUGAAAUUCUUUAUUAUAGAAAAAUGAGGGAAAAUAACUUUUAUAUCCAUACAACAAAGAGAACACAUCCUAACAAUAAACACCCCUUAAAACAACAAACAUAUAUAUCAAAUAAAAAACUGUUUUCUUUAUUCACACGCACAACAAAAUCUGCAAAUGAAAGGUAUAAAUGAUGUGUGUGUGUGUGUGUGUGUGAGUGCAUAAAUAGACUUAAAUGACCUGAUCAAGCUAAGUAGAAUUACUGAUCUUGCAGUGUUAUAGCUUGAAAUACACAUGUAAUAACAAUUACAUAUCCACAUAUAUUGAUCACUUUUAGAUCUGUAAGAGAAGAAAUUCCUCAUAUAAAAGCACUACAUCUCCAUUCACCACACACCACAAAUUAUCACAAACUUAGAAAAGAGAGAGAGAGAGAGAGAGAGAGGCAAAGCAAUAUACUAUAUCAUGUCAACAUCUUCAACACUGACAGUGGAGCAAAGGAUGUUUGUGAAUUGUGAUAAUAUACAAAGGCAAAAAAUAAUGUAAAAAAUAGUCAAAAGAAACUGAGUUAUAAACUAGACCAAAUUAAAUCUCAC